rnacentral:rRNA from 1 species
CCAAGGCUAAAUACUCCUGACUGACCGAUAGUGAACCAGUACCGUGAGGGAAAGGCGAAAAGAACCCCGGUGAGGGGAGUGAAAAAGAACCUGAAACCGUGUACGUACAAGCAGUGGGAGCCUCUUUAUGGGGUGACUGCGUACCUUUUGUAUAAUGGGUCAGCGACUUAUAUUCUGUAGCAAGGUUAACCGAAUAGGGGAGCCGAAGGGAAACCGAGUCUUAACUGGGCGUUAAGUUGCAGGGUAUAGAC